UCCCAGGUGUCUCAGUGCAUAAAGAACCUGCCUGCAAUGCUGGAGAUGUAGGAGAUUCAGGUUCAAUCCCUGGGUUGGGAA
rnacentral:tRNA from 1 species